GGCGUCCUAUACUUGCAAGUCGAGCGGACAGAAGGGAGCUUGCUUCCGGAUGUAGCGGCGGACGGGUGAGUAACACGUGGGUAACCUGCCUGUAAGACUGGGAUAACUCCGGGAAACCGGAGCUAAUACCGGAUAGUUCCCUGAACCGCAUGGUUCAAGGAUGAAAGACGGUUUCGGCUGUCACUUACAGAUGGACCCGCGGCGCAUAGCUAGUUGGUGAGGUAACGGCUCACCAAGGCGACGAUGCGUAGCCGACCUGAGAGGGUGAUCGGCCACACUGGGACUGAGACACGGCCCAGACUCCUACGGGAGGCAGCAGUAGGGAAUCUUCCGCAAUGGACGAAAGUCUGACGGAGCAACGCCGCGUGAGUGAUGAAGGUUUCGGAUCGUAAAGCUCUGUUGUUAGGGAAGAACAAGUGCAAGAGUAACUGCUUGCACCUUGACGGUACCUAACCAGAAAGCCACGGCUAACUACGUGCCAGCAGCCGCGGUAAUACGUAGGUGGCAGCGUUGUCCGGAAUUAUUGGGCGUAAAGGGCUCGCAGGCGGUUUCUUAAGUCUGAUGUGAAAGCCCCCGGCUCAACCGGGGAGGGUCAUUGGAAACUGGGAAACUUGAGUGCAGAAGAGGAGAGUGGAAUUCCACGUGUAGCGGUGAAAUGCGUAGAGAUGUGGAGGAACACCAGUGGCGAAGGCGACUCUCUGGUCUGUAACUGACGCUGAGGAGCGAAAGCGUGGGGAGCGAACAGGAUUAGAUACCCUGGUAGUCCACGCCGUAAACGAUGAGUGCUAAGUGUUAGGGGGUUUCCGCCCCUUAGUGCUGCAGCUAACGCAUUAAGCACUCCGCCUGGGGAGUACGGUCGCAAGACUGAAACUCAAAGGAAUUGACGGGGGCCCGCACAAGCGGUGGAGCAUGUGGUUUAAUUCGAAGCAACGCGAAGAACCUUACCAGGUCUUGACAUCCUCUGACAACCCUAGAGAUAGGGCUUUCCCUUCGGGGACAGAGUGA
rnacentral:rRNA from 1 species